UCUGAUCAAACUAAACGUAAACGUCAUGCAGCUCUCAAACGAACAUCACUGUUAUUAUUAUUAUUAUUAUCAUCAUCAUCAUCAUCAUAAUUAUCUACAUUAUCAUGAUUAUUAUUAUUAUUAAAGAGUAUCAGUGUAUCAAUUCAAGCAACACAAUAGCAACAAGCCAUACAUUUGUUUACAAUUAACUCAAACCAGUAGACAAUUAGCCAGUGUGAGACUUGCUGUGUACGUAUAUUAUAAAGCUGUGGAGUGUAAAAAAUAAUCUAUUGGGAAAUUGGGCAUAUAUGAUUAUUAAAAUAGUAGAUUUUCAGUUACGUUUACAGUGAUUCGUCAUCAGUAGUUAUUGGACAUCAGCAGAGUGGACAUCUGUGCAGCUAACUACGUGAUAAUGGGCUGCAACAUCUCGAAAAAAUUUGUCUAUUAAUCUUUGAACUCUAAUCCAAUAAAUAAAUAAAUAAUAAAUAAAAUUUUUUAAUAAUAUUUUUGACAAGUGACUCGGUUCAGUUAAAACUCAGAUAAAUUGAUUAUAAAAAUGAGCUCUCAACCAAUAAUGGUACCCGGAGGGGAAAAAAGUCAUCAUCAUGAAUCGCAAUCAUCAUCAGUUGGACAUUCUAAUGAUUUAAGAACAAUGACACCACCAACAAGCCGUUCUUUUAACAAUCCUUCAGGAGACGAGCGGAGACCCCGGCAGGGCAGCGUAAAUGCCCAGUCAGCUCAGUUGUCAAAGCUACCAUCAUCAGAAUCACUUACAGCUAAUGUUAAUAUUCCUGGUCCUCCGCUUUCACCAGGUUUAUCAGCGAUGGGGGAGAGUACUCUCAAAAUCGAUACCACCACCGACAAGGGAGAUGGAAAAUUAACGAGAAAAGAAUCGUACAAAGCACAGCGUAAAAAUUACCGAAUUGAAAAAAAACGUGUUGCAAAUGAAUUAUUGAGCUCAUUAAAAGAUCCGACAGUGGUUGUUAUGAGUGACUGGCUCAAAGUACGCGGUACUCUAAAAAGUUGGACUAAACUCUGGUGUAUACUCAAGCCAGGUUUAUUAUUACUUUAUAAAAGUCCAAAGAUAAAGAGCAGUCACUGGGUCGGAACGGUCUUAUUGAAUACGUGUCAAGUAAUUGAACGACCAAGUAAAAAAGAUGGAUUUUGUUUCAAGUUAUUUCAUCCACUUGAGCAAUCUAUUUGGGCACCACGGGGGCCUGAAAAAGAAGCUAUGAGAGCCGUAGUACAACCAUUGCCAACAUCUCAUUUAAUUUUUCGCGCACCAUCGCAGGCUGCUGGUAAAUGUUGGCUCGACGCUUUAGAAUUAUCUCUACGUUGCUCUUCGCUUAUCGUCAGAUCUACUAGUAUUUUGCCGCGUUCGCCGCAACACGAUGCAACUACAACACACGAGACUCAGUGGAGUGAAGCUGAUUAUGAGAAACACUUUGAUGACCACGAUUACAAACUGGACGAGUCUCUACAGAUAAAUUUAAGCCGCUACAUCCCCCCGACACCAACGACACCACAGAGACGAUUGUUGUCAUGUCCGCCAUCACAUUAUUCCCCGGGUAACAAAAGCCCCGCAUCCAAAAGCUUGUGCCCUUCGCCGACCCCGGUCUUUCAGCAACUUUGUCACGCAGUGGCUUAUUGGGAAAAGCACUUGAUCGACCUGGACGAUAUCAGUCAACCGGAGAACGGCGUCGUUGCUGAUGCUGAAAUCAGCGGUACCGAUUCUGAUUCCGAGGGAUCUGUCAAGGAGGAAGAAAUCACUAUUUGCGAGACUCCGUAUCUUGCUAAUGAAAAUGAAUUUUUGGGAUCGGCUGGAGAAGUUGUCGCUGAGCUGCCGGAUGAACAAAAGUCACUUAUCUGGUUUCUUCUUAAGCAAGUGAGACCGGGUAUGGAUCUUUCAAAAGUAGUAUUACCGACUUUUAUCCUCGAGCCACGUUCUUUUUUGGAAAAACUUGCUGAUUCUUAUUAUCAUGCCGAUUUACUUUCACAGGCUGUACUGGAAGAUGAUGCAUUUACUCGUAUGAAAGGGGUAGUGAAAUGGUAUCUAUCUGGAUUUUACAAGAAGCCCCAAGGUCUUAAGAAACCAUACAAUCCACUGCUUGGUGAAACAUUUCGUUGUUAUUGGCAACAUCCCAAUGGCUCAAGAACAUUUUAUCUCGCUGAACAAAUAUCCCACCAUCCACCAAUUUCGGGAUUUUAUGUAACAAACCGGCAAGACGGUUUUACAAUAAGUUCAACGAUAAUAGCAAAGUCUAAAUUUUAUGGUAACUCAACGUCAGCUGUUUUGGAUGGUGCAGCUGUGCUUACGAUGCUUCCACGUGGCGAGGAUUACUCUAUGACUAUUCCCUAUGCUCACUGCAAGGGAAUAGUUAUGGGUACCUUGUCCAUGGAACUCGGCGGCAAAAUAAAUAUUAUUUGCGAAAAAACGGGUUACCAUACGGAGCUUGAAUUUAAAUUAAAGCCAUUUUUGGGUGGUGCUGAACAAAUGAACCAAGUGGUGGGUCGAAUAAAGCUCGGAAAAGAAACUUUGGGCACUAUAUCCGGUUACUGGGACGGACAAAUUAAUAUCGUUGACAAGAGAACUGGACAAGAAAGUGUUUUGUUUUCUUCGACUCCGGAAGUAAGAAGAUCACGUCUGAAGAAAUACACAGUCCCGAUAGAAUCCCAAAAUGAGUGGGAAAGCCAAAAAUUAUGGCUCGCAGUUACACAAGCCAUCAAUAAUGACGACCAGAUAGUAGCUACCGAAGCUAAGACGGCCUUGGAAGAGGCUCAGCGUGAACGUGCCAAAGAACGUAAACUAAAUAAUCUCGAAUGGAUUCCUAAAUAUUUUGUACAGGAUAUAAUAACAGGUAAUUGGAUCUAUCGACAUGCUGACAUUAGACCAUGGGAUCCACGAAAUGAUGUAGUUCAAUACGAACAAGAUUAUAUUGUACGCACAAAAACGCGCCACAAGACUCCGAUAAUGCGAACCGGAAGUAUUGUUUCAGCCGAUCCACAGUCUCAGACGGCAAUAAUGAUUUCAGAUGCCGUUAUUACAGGCGGAGUCGCGUUCCUCGUUAUCUGUACUCAAGUCAUCUAAGAGGCAGCUGUCUAAUAAUUUACCUUUGGCAGAAAAUCCUCAUGAUUCUGCAAGUUCCUCCGAAGCUAUUCAUUCUGAUUCGAGUCAGUCUGUUGGUAAAAGACGACGUUCUGCAGCUAGGAUGAUGCAUUCAUUAAAAGAAGUCGAGAGUCAAAUGGCUGAGCACGGAGAAAAAUUAAAUCGUAUUCAACGCUCAAUAGAACAAUUAGCUAUUCGACAGCGAACACAACGGGAACAAAAUUACAAUCCAAGUAUGAUUAAAAGUUGCGUAGACACUAUUGUUGUUAUUGCUAUCGUCUAUUUCGUGCAGUAUAUUAUGAAAUUUUUUAA
rnacentral:misc_RNA from 1 species